AGAUUGCUUUCUUUCACUGAUCCCUAUAUACUGAACUCUGUUCCCCAGGCGCCGAUGACGUGUGUCUAUUAAGGCAGCCCACUGCACCGCUCCGAUUCAGAGGGGUUGGGUUAAAUGCGGAAGACACAUUUCAGUUGAAUGACAACUAGGUUGUCGACUAGGUUGUUUUCUGGUGUCGACAAAAGUCUAAUUAAGAGGUACACCGUAUUUAAAGGGAUGUACUGAAAACCCUAUUAAAUGAAAAUUCCAUGAGAAAAUCUGUUGGCCAGCAAGUGGGCGGGUUUUCAGUGGUUGAAUUAAAAUGUAUUCAGCGCACACAAGAGAACCAGGCCUGCAAAGCACAUUACGCACCUGCAUAAGAUUGUUCCUGCUCCUCUUCAUUAGGCUGAAACACACCACCUCUCUUUCCUGCCACCAUGUCCUCCAUCUUCUCCAGCAGCUCUGUGACAACAGCGCAAACUGACUCUAACCAGAAUAGAAAGAGGAGUGGGAGG